rnacentral:misc_RNA from 1 species
UCCCUGACGGGCAGUUGCGCUGGAGAAGUACAACCAACGCUAGGGGUUGCGCUCGUUAGGGGACUUAACCCAACACCUCACGGCACGAGCUGACGACAGCCAUGCAGCACCUGUGCAAGCGUCCCUUGCGGGCACGGCCAUCUCUGACCGGUGCGCUUGCAUGUCAAGCCCUGGUAAGGUUCUUCGCGUUGCAUCGAAUUAAACCACACGCUCCGCUGCUUGUGCGGGUCCCCGUCAAUUCCUUUGAGUUUUAAUCUUGCGACCGUACUCCCCAGGCGGUCUACUUCUGCGUUAGCUGAACCCACGACAGGGUCGAAACUGCCGCGAGCGAGUAGACAUCGUUUACGGCGUGGACUAC